CAUGAAGAACGUAGCGAAAUGCGAUAAGUAGUGUGAAUUGCAGAAUUCCGUGAAUCAUCGAAUCUUUGAACGCACAUUGCGCCUUCUGGUAUUCCGGAAGGCAUGCCUGUUCGAGAGUCAUUAACAACCGUUUCGAUCCCUUUCUUUCAGAAAUUACAAAGAGGAAAAGGGUUUGGUUAUGGUGGAGGAGGGAAAGGGAGCGUUUAGCCUGUAAAAAAAGAGGCUGUGUUCCGCCUCCCCCCCAAAAUUGUACAGGCGGUCGUGUGCGCCCACGCAUCGAGGUGUUGUAAAAGCUGCCACGGCACUUUUCACCUGUGCAGUGCGAGAUUGGCCAGCCGGUUUAAAAACCCCUCCAAACAAUCAAAGGUUGACCUCGGAUCAGGUAGGGAUACCCGCUGAACUUAAGCAUAUCAAUAAGCGGAGGA
rnacentral:misc_RNA from 1 species